GGAACGUUUUAAGACUUGCAAAGACAAACACUGAGAAGUUAAGGAUGAUCGGCGUUAACAGCAGUCUUCAGUCCAUAGUCCUUUUGUAAAAACAAUCUUGUUGCGUAUGGCUUUCCUCCAUUCUGAGUCAAAGGCAGGGUUUGAAUAACAUGUAUUUGAUAAAGCACUGGGACUGCAUGUUGGAAAACUAAGGAACUCUGAGGAGACAGACUUACAGAAUGGAUUGGCAAGUUUGGGACUAAAUGAGAAAUGCACAAGUGGUUUAUAGAAGCAGAGAAGCACAAGGAGAUCUGAGGGUUUUAGGUAUCCAUUCUGAAUACUCUUAUAGCCUGUAUUUGUUUGUUUCUCUGAACAAGCCUUUUGCCCCAUUGCCACUAGUGUUAUCUCUGCAUUUUGAUUCCUCCUUCACAGUUUCUGUGUCUGUAUUUCAAAGUAUUUACAGUCUCAGACUAGGUUCGUGCCAACCUCUUCCUCCCUUCUUGUCUUUGCUCCCCCUUACCUUUCUGCUACCAGGGCUUCUUUGCUCUUGCCUAUUCCCAAGUUUGGUUUUGUUUUUUAAAGUUCUAUUCAUACUCAAGCCUACACUCGCCUCCAUCUUCUCCUUGCCCUGCUGUGGUCCUGUGCAAUGACAGCAUGCUAUAGCCAUAUCCUUUUUUUCUGCCCCGGUUCUUUGGCUUACCCCUGUUCACAGCUGCUGUUUCCUGAUGAUCCCAGUUUUUUCUCUGAACUCACCCUUUCUAAGUUUCCUCAGUGCGCUGUCCAGACAACAGAAAGAAGGACAGAGGUGUGGAGAAAAAUUUCUUGUUUAAUUUGUAAGAGCAGCAGGUGAAGUAAACAGCUAGUGCCAAGGGGGAUGAGUUGAACCCUCCCUGCUCUGAGGGGGACAAUGGUUGUAAUUAAUGGUACUUAUACACACAUGACUUUGGAGAAGAGGCAAAAGCUGCAGUGUGUUGCUGUGUAAACACAUGGUUCCUGUUGGCAGCUGGUCAGUGAGAAGGAGCAAGGUGCACUGGCCUUGUUCUCUAACUCCUGUACCUUUGAGACAGUGAGCCAACAGCUCACCAGACCACAGAACAUCAUUUUAUUUUGUGAAUAAAACAUUGAAACUGCAGCUAGAAGAAUAAGAUAUUGUUAUAGACUGCUGCAGUGUCUGUGGAGCUGAUGAAGUUUUUGUAUUUGAGACUAAGUUCUUAACACAUGGAUGUUAUGAGCUCAUCUAUAACCGUGGUAAUGUUAGUUGCAGAGGCUGGUGUUGGUUAUUAAACUGUGAUAAAAUUGUUUCAUUCAUAUAAAUCCAAGAUGACUGUUACGGCUCUGAGCUGUUGAAAGGAUUUUCUUUGUCCUGGCAUUGACCCACCACUGUUUAUAUAGUCUGGGGUUUUUUGGUCUGUCAGCUGUCAUUGUACAACCAUUGGGUUGUCUGAUACAUAAUGUGACUUACGUUUUUUUUAUGGUGGAAGUUUUUGACACCUCUCAAUCUCUUCACCAUCUGCAUAAUGUCUAGGACCAGGCUUAUGUAGUUGUAGCAGUUUGAUCCUGACUGGAUGCCAGGUACCCACCAAAGCUGCUCUAUCACUGCCCUCCUCAUCUGGGCAGGAGAGGGGGCAUAGAAUGAAAGGCUUAUGGGUCGAGGCUGAGGUUCACUCUCAGUUCUCUACUUCCUUCCCACCAGUGGCACAGAGGAACAAGGAGUGGAGGCUGAGGUC